ensembl:lncRNA
CCUCAAUUCAUCACAACUCACUGAACCUGUGGGCUGAAACCAUUGGUAUUUAUUUAAGCAAGUGCAGCUGUUUCUUGAGUUUCCUAGGUAAAGGAGCAGGAGUGAGAUGUACUUGGAUGAAAGAAAUGCAACUGUACAGUUUGAACCCAAUGCAAGACUCAAGUAUCCUCUCUCCUAAUUAGCAAAGGAACACGAUAAGUGUGACCGGAGCUCAAUUCUUUAUGUCUUGAGAUGUCAACAACCUUAUUGUGCCUACUGGGGAUGAAGUGGUGUUGUGAAAUAAGAGGGAAAAAGAGUUCCUCCAAAGAGCCACAGCCUUAUGGUUGAGGCACUGAACUGAGAUCUGCAGGUAUAUCUACCCACAGUGAAGAGAAAAGAUUCACCUCAAGUUACAAGUUUGAAUGGUUCAGAAGUAAAUUACCACAAAAAUGCAGAUGGAACCUGUAAUACUUGCCUCCACAUCAUUCAUCCAGCGGUUUGGGAGCCGCAGAUCAGCGUGUGAAAGACAGCAGUUAAAAUACAGGGCCCGUUCCUAUCUCCUCUGCUAUGCACUGGUGUAAAUCAAGCCUAAGACUCAUGAACCCAAUGGAGUGUAAAAUUGGUGUGAGUGAGAAUCAGUGCCAUCUCCUGUACCUAUAUGUCAGAUAAAAUAUUUGUUUCAAGUGUUUAUAGACACUGUUAUCAUAAAUAGCUUAUUUUCUUAUACAUUAAAUAGAUCAAAAGAAACCAGAGUAAUUUUCUAACACGACUAAAAUAAACACAUAUAUUUAUUGCCAUGUCACUUGCAGGAGUCACGCUCUCAUUGAAUCUAAGUAAGAAACCGGUGAUUGAUUUUUAUUUUUUUUCUUGUUUUAAUAAAAGGAAUCACAGCACUCUA